rnacentral:rRNA from 1 species
GUGUAUGAAGAAGGCCUUCGGGUUGUAAAGUACUUUCAGCGGGGAGGAAGGGAGUAAAGUUAAUACCUUUGCUCAUUGACGUUACCCGCAGAAGAAGCACCGGCUAACUCCGUGCCAGCAGCCGCGGUAAUACGGAGGGUGCAAGCGUUAAUCGGAAUUACUGGGCGUAAAGCGCACGCAGGCGGUUUGUUAAGUCAGAUGUGAAAUCCCCGGGCUCAACCUGGGAACUGCAUCUGAUACUGGCAAGCUUGAGUCUCGUAGAGGGGGGUAGAAUUCCAGGUGUAGCGGUGAAAUGCGUAGAGAUCUGGAGGAAUACCGGUGGCGAAGGCGGCCCCCUGGACGAAGACUGACGCUCAGGUGCGAAAGCGUGGGGAGCAAACAGGAUUAGAUACC